rnacentral:rRNA from 1 species
UUGCCCUAGUAACGGCGAGUGAAGCGGCAACAGCUCAAAUUUGAAAUCUGGCCCCAGGCCCGAGUUGUAAUUUGUAGAGGAUGUUUCUGGUGCGGUGCCUUCCGAGUUCCCUGGAACGGGACGCCAUAGAGGGUGAGAGCCCCGUCCGGUCGUGCGCUAAGCCUAUGUGAAACUCCUUCGACGAGUCGAGUAGUUUGGGAAUGCUGCUCUAAAUGGGAGGUAUACGUCUUCUAAAGCUAAAUACCGGCCAGAGACCGAUAGCGCACAAGUAGAGUGAUCGAAAGAUGAAAAGCACUUUGAAAAGAGGGUUAAAUAGUACGUGAAAUUGCUGAAAGGGAAGCGCUUAUGACCAGACUUGGGCUCGGUGAAUCAUCCGGCGUUCUCGCCGGUGCACUUUGCCGGUCCAGGCCAGCAUCAGUUCUCGUCGGGGGAUAAAGGCGCCGGGAAUGUGGCUCCCUCGGGAGUGUUAUAGCCCGGCGUGUAAUACCCUGAUGGGGACUGAGGUACGCGCUCCGCAAGGAUGCUGGCGUAAUGGUCAUCAGCGACCCGUCUUGAAACACGGACCAAGGAGUCGUCUUCGUAUGCGAGUGUUCGGGUGUCAAACCCCUACGCGUAAUGAAAGUGAACGUAGGAGAGAGCUUCGGCGCAUCUCCGACCGAUCCUGAUGUUCUCGGAUGGAUUUGAGUAAGAGCAUACGGGGCCGGACCCGAAAGAAGGUGAACUAUGCCUGUAUAGGGUGAAGCCAGAGGAAACUCUGGUGGAGGCUCGCAGCGGUUCUGACGUGCAAAUCGAUCGUCAAAUAUGGGCAUGGGGGCGAAAGACUAAUCGAACCUUCUAGUAGCUGGUUUC